GUGAAUGUGGCGAAGUGGUUAACGCACCGGAUUGUGGUUCCGGCAUGCGUGGGUUCGAUUCCCACCAUUCACCCCA
rnacentral:tRNA from 1 species